CCUACGGGCGACAGCAGUGAGGAAUAUUGGUCAAUGGGCGGGAGCCUGAACCAGCCAAGCCGCGUGAAGGAAGACGGUACAACGGAUCGUAAACCUCUUUUAUCAGGGAACAAAGGCGGGGACUCGUCCCCUGAUGAGGGUACCUGAAGACAAAGCAUCGGCUAACUCCGUGCCAGCAGCCGCGGUAAUACGGAGGAUCCGAGCGUUCUCCGGAUUUAUGGGGUUUAAAGGGAGCGUAGAUGGUUUGUUAAGUCAGUUGUGAAAGUUUGCGGCUCAACCGUAAAAUUGAAAUUGAUACUGGCAGUCUUGAGUACAGUUGAGGUAGGCGGAAUUCGUGGUGUAGCGGUGAAAUGCUUAGAUAUCACGAAGAACCCCGAUUGCGAAGGCAGCUUACUAAACUGCCACUGACAUUGAUGCUCGAAAGUGUGGGUAUCAAACAGGAUUAGAUACCCGAGUAGUC
rnacentral:rRNA from 1 species